UACGAAGGGGGCUAGCGUUGCUCGGAAUCACUGGGCGUAAAGGGUGCGUAGGCGGGUCUUUAAGUCAGGGGUGAAAUCCUGGAGCUCAACUCCAGAACUGCCUUUGAUACUGAGGAUCUUGAAUUCGGGAGAGGUGAGUGGAACUGCGAGUGUAGGGGUGAAAUUCGUAGAUAUUCGCAAGAACACCAGUGGCGAAGGCGGCUCACUGGCCCGAUGCUGACGCUGAGGCACGAAAGCGUGGGGAGCAAACAGG
rnacentral:rRNA from 1 species